AACAAGAGUGAUGGAAAUCGAGAGGAAAGAAAGUUCAUUUAAGUGGAGAAAGAUAUAAGAAGGCCGCCAUGUUGUGUCCUUUCUGUGGCCAACAUCUGGGGACAGUUCAAGUGUUCUGUGGCUCCUGUGGCAAACAUGUACAGUUUGUGGCAGAAGUUGAACACAACAGCGUUCCAUAAGGAGGGUCAGGAACUCACGCUUGGGACCACCAGUGUCCCCUCCAUCCUCAGUUUGUCCCUCAUCAUCAGUGAACUUAACUGACGUCUCAUGAGGGAUCGAAUGAGGCACCUUUGAAGCCGCGGAUUGCUCCAUCCCACACAUUGGCUCUAUUCAUAUUGAACCUGCUGCAAGAUGUAUUUGUUAUUUUUGCAGAGAGUUCUGCAACAAAGUCCGCCGCAGUCAGGUAUUCUGUGCUGGGAAAGACAAAGUGAUGUAUUGUAAUAUUAAAUGAUGAAGCUAGUAAUAAGAUUUACAGAAUAGAAUAGAAAAAUCAAGUGGUAAUAGUAACAAUUAAUACCUUUGCUCCAUUUUGUCUUCUGGCUCAGACUGGCUAUCAAUAAUGAUAAGUGCAUACACAGUUGUGUAGUUGCUGCAGUGAGAAGACAGUUGAAUAAUACUUUCAAAUACAUAAUAUAUGCAU